rnacentral:misc_RNA from 1 species
UGGCUCUGGCAUCGAUGAAGAACGCAGCGAAAUGCGAUAAGUAAUGUGAAUUGCAGAAUUCAGUGAAUCAUCGAAUCUUUGAACGCACAUUGCGCCCGGCAGUAUUCUGCCGGGCAUGCCUGUCCGAGCGUCAUUUCAACCCUCGAGCCCCCGGGCUUGGUGUUGGGGAUCGGCCGCCCCCGCGGCAGGCCGGCCCCGAAAUCCAGUGGCGGUCCCGCCGUAGCUUCCUCUGCGUAGUAGCAAUAUCUCGCACCGGGACUCGACGCGGCCACGCCGUAAAACCCCCAACUUCUGAAGGUUGACCUCGGAUCAGGUAGGAAUACCCGCUGA